GACGAACGCUGGCGGCGUGCUUAACACAUGCAAGUCGAACGGAAAGGCCCUGCUUGCAGGGUACUCGAGUGGCGAACGGGUGAGUAACACGUGGGUGAUCUGCCCUGCACUUCGGGAUAAGCUUGGGAAACUGGGUCUAAUACCGGAUAGGAACCAUCUUUAGUGUGGUGGUUGGAAAGUUUUUUCGGUGUAGGAUGAGCUCGCGGCCUAUCAGCUUGUUGGUGGGGUAAUGACCUACCAAGGCGGCGACGGGUAGCCGGCCUGAGAGGGUGUACGGCCACAUUGGGACUGAGAUACGGCCCAGACUCCUACGGGAGGCAGCAGUGGGGAAUAUUGCACAAUGGGCGCAAGCCUGAUGCAGCGACGCCGCGUGGGGGAUGAAGGCCUUCGGGUUGUAAACUCCUUUCGCUAGGGACGAAGCUUUGUUGUGACGGUACCUAGAUAAGAAGCACCGGCUAACUACGUG
rnacentral:rRNA from 1 species